rnacentral:rRNA from 1 species
GACGAACGCUGGCGGCGUGCCUAAUACAUGCAAGUUGAGCGCUGAAGGUUGGUACUUGUACCGACUGGAUGAGCAGCGAACGGGUGAGUAACGCGUGGGGAAUCUGCCUUUGAGCGGGGGACAACAUUUGGAAACGAAUGCUAAUACCGCAUAAAAACUUUAAACACAAGUUUUAAGUUUGAAAGAUGCAAUUGCAUCACUCAAAGAUGAUCCCGCGUUGUAUUAGCUAGUUGGUGAGGUAAAGGCUCACCAAGGCGAUGAUACAUAGCCGACCUGAGAGGGUGAUCGGCCACAUUGGGACGGAGACACGGCCCAAACUCCUACGGGAGGCAGCAGUAGGGAAUCUUCGGCAAUGGACGAAAGUCUGACCGAGCAACGCCGCGUGAGUGAAGAAGGGUUUCGGAUCGUAAAACUCUGUUGGUAGAGAAGAACGUUGGUGAGAGUGGAAAGCUCAUCAAGUGACGGUAACUACCCAGAAAGGGACGGCUAACUACGUG